rnacentral:hammerhead_ribozyme from 1 species
CCUUAGCUGACGAGUCCCAAAUAGGACGAAAUGCGCGUUGUCCUGGAU